UGGGGAAUUUGGACAAUGGGCGAAAGCCUGAUCCAGCAAUGCCGCGUGUGUGAAGAAGGCCUUCGGGUUGUAAAGCACUUUUGUCCGGAAAGAAAUCCUUGGCUCUAAUACAGUCGGGGGAUGACGGUACCGGAAGAAUAAGCACCGGCUAACUACGUGCCAGCAGCCGCGGUAAUACGUAGGGUGCAAGCGUUAAUCGGAAUUACUGGGCGUAAAGCGUGCGCAGGCGGUUUGCUAAGACCGAUGUGAAAUCCCCGGGCUCAACCUGGGAACUGCAUUGGUGACUGGCAGGCUAGAGUAUGGCAGAGGGGGGUAGAAUUCCACGUGUAGCAGUGAAAUGCGUAGAGAUGUGGAGGAAUACCGAUGGCGAAGGCAGCCCCCUGGGCCAAUACUGACGCUCAUGCACGAAAGCGUGGGGAGCAAAACAGGAUUAGAUACCCUGGUAGUCCACGCCCUAAAACGAUGUCAACUAGUUGUUGGGGAUUCAUUUCCUUAGUAACGUAGCUAACGCGUGAAGUUGACCGCCUGGGGAGUACGGUCGCAAGAUUAAAACUUAAAGGAAUUGACGGGGUCAUAGCUGUUUCCU
rnacentral:rRNA from 1 species